UUCUCUCUGGAUGUUUUUAUUGUUUUUAGAUGUGGUACGAGUGAAACCUGGAGAUGAUGUCAUUCUGCCAUGUCAGGCUGGUGAAGCCCCAUCAGAGCUGUAGAGUGGAGCAGAGCUGACCUGGAGCCAGAGUACGUCCUCUUUUACAGAGAUGGACUCUCAGAUCCAACCCAGCAGCAUCCAUCCUUUAAGGACCGGGUGCAGCUGGUGGACAGAGAGCUGAAGGACAGAAACGUGUCUUUAAUUCUGAAGAACGUGAGCAGCAACGACGCUGGAACAUACGAGUGUCGAGUUGCAACAGGAGUUUCAAGACAUAAGAGAAUCAACAUUGAGACUCCACCAAUCAGAAUCUACCAGCUGGAGGUUUCAGGGUCCAACAGCGGAGACGUCGAGGAGGGAAACUACGGUCUUUACUACGGACUGGUAGCAGCUUUUGUUCUGGUUUGUUUAGCUGCUGUUGGAUUGGCUGUUGGCUGGAAAUAUAAAAGA